GGUCAAACAUCCUAAUAGUGUUGUUAUGUUUAUAUUAUCCUCUUUUAUUAUAAUAAAAAUAUUUUAAAGGGUUUUUUACUUAUAUACUUGAACCCCAUUGUAUGCUUCAUAGAUAGCUGAAACCAAUUCAUCUUCACUCAGUAUAUCCCAGGAAAGACAGAAAGUUGGACACCCACGUGAGAUGCCAUUCACAGAAGAAAAAUCACACCUGUAUCCCAGAGGAGGAAAGACAGGCAUCACUGUAUUUUGAAAGCUGUAGUACUCUUGAAAAGGAGAUUGAAGAGGAUUUCAGAAAAUGGAAAGAUGUCCCUUGCUUUUGGUUAGGGAGAAUCAACAUUGUGAAAAUGGCCUUAUUCUCAAAACUGUUAUACAGAUUUAAUGCAAUCUCAAUCAAAAAAUCUUUAACUUAUCUUACAGAUCUAGAAAAAAAAAUCCCAUUUGGAAAUAGAAGAGACCUAGAGUAGCAAAAAAAUCCUCGGCAACUAAAGCAAGGCAGAAGGCCUCUCAAUCCCUGACUUGAAAUUAUACUACAAAGCUACAGUGAUAAAAUCAGCAAAGUAUUGGAAAAGCAAAACAAAACAAUAAAAACAGACCUAAGAAUCAAUGAAACAGGUUAGAAAAUGCAAACACAACUACAAAGACACUCAGUCAUCUGAUAUUUGACAAAGGGGCUAAACAGGUUCACUGGAAGAAAGCCUCUUUAAUAAAUGUUGCUGGAAAAAUUGGCUUUCCACGUGCCAAAGAUUGAAACUAGCGCCAUGUCUAUCACCAUACAGUAAACUCAAAAUGGAUCAAAGAUCUAAAUAUUAAAAUAGAAACACUAAAUCUGCUGGAAAACAAGGUAGUAGAAAUCUUGACGACAUAAGGGUAGGCAAAAGGUUCAUGAACAAAAUACAAACUACUUGGGAAGUAUUUCAAAAAAUCAACAACUGGGAUCUCAUCUUAUUAAAAAGUUUUUGCACUUUAAAAGAAAUUACCAACAGAGUGAAAAGAAAACCUACAGAAUGGAAAGAAUUUUAGCCAGCUAUCCCUCAGACAAAACAUUUAUGUCUAGAAUAUAUAAAGAACUGAAAAAUGUCAGACCCCCGAAAUUCAAAGACUCAGUACAAAAAUAGGUGUCUGAGAGGAAAAUGCACUUCUCAGAUGAAGAAAUACAAAAAUACAAAUAGCAAAUAAAUACAGGAAGACACACUCAAUGUCACUGGGCAUUCAAGUAUUGCUCAUUUCUAAAAGUUACUUCCUAGAAUCUGGCACAAAAUACAUGAAAAUAAAUAUUCUGUUGUUAUUCUAUAACAAGAUAAUUUCAUGCAAUAGUCCAUACUUCCAUUUUGGGAUUGUCAAUAUAAAAUUCAUCUUUGGUUAUGGUGGAUAAACUCAAAAGUGAGAAAACACAACAUAAAUGCUUUAAAAGAUUGUUUAGCACAAUAGUGAAGAAGAAAGUUUGAGAACUGACAGGACCCAACUUAAAAACUUACUAUAGAGCUGUGGUCACAAGGCAGUGUGGUAUUUUCAAGGUAAAUAGAACAGUGGAGUAGAAGUAAGAAUACAAAAUAGACCCACACAAUUACACUCAACUGACCUUUGAUGAAGAAACAGAGGCAAUUCCUGGAGAAAGGGUUGUCCUUGUAUAAAAGAUUCUGCAACAACAGGACAUCAUCUUGGGAGAAAAAUGAGUAUAGACAUUAACAUCCUCCACAAAAAUCAGCUCAAUCAACUCAGUCGGAUAGGACAGGAAAGCAGAAAACUACAAAAAGAACUAGGAAAAAAUAGAAGAGAAAAUCCAGGAGGCAGACCAUUAGAUAUAAUACCAAAGUAUAUUCCAUGAAAGGAAAAACUGAGUGAUUCAGGCUUCACUGACCUCAAAAACUCCUCUUUACUGAGAAGACACUUUUUAAAAACAUACAGACAAGCCCUGAGAGAAAUAUGCUCACAGUAUAUAUUUGAUAAAGAAGUUGUGCAUAAAAUAUACAACAGAAAAAAAUAGUAAUUUUUUUAAAGUUUAAAAACAAGCUAGAGAUCUGAUCAGUCACUCCACCAAAAAUGCACCAAUGGCCGUGGCAGCUAAGCAGACUACCAUUCAGGGAAUUCCAGAUUAAACCACCACAUACCUGUGAGGACCAGGGAAUCCAAAGCAGUGACAAUCCCCAGUGCUGGGGAGGGUGCAGAGUGGAGAAACACUCACUGCUGAUGUGAAGGCAGCAGUCUGACAACUGCUUCCAAAACUAAACAUACUCUUAGUACCCAAUCCAACAAUAGCACUCCUUAGAAUUCACCCAGCUGGAUUGAAAACUCCAUCCACACAAAACUUUGCACAAAGAUAUGCAUAAUUGUGAGGACCCAGAACAACCAAAUUAUCCCUCAUUCCAUGACUAGAUAAAUACACUAUGGUGCAUUCCAACAAUAGAAUAUUAUAUAACACUAAGCAGAAAUAUGCUAGCAAACCACAGAAAGCCAAGUGCAUAUUGUUAAAUGAAAUAGAUCAGUCUAAAAAGACCACACACUGUCUAAUUCCAGCUCCAUGACUUUGGAGACAAUGAAAAGAUUGGUGUUUACUAAGGUCGGGGAGAGAGGGGUAAGUAAGGGAUGAGACAAGAGAUCUUAAUGUAGAGAAACUAUUGUGUGCCUCCUUAGUGGUAGACACAGGUUGCUAUAUCUUUGUCAAAUUCAUAGCAUGUGUGGCACCAAGGAGGAGCCCCAGUGUGAAGCAUGAGCUUGGGGUGCUUCUAAAGGCCAAAACGGGUUGUUUGCUCACUGCAAGUGUGCCACCUUGUGGGGAGUGAUGCAGCUAGUGGCAGUAUUGUGCAUGUGCAGCUGCAGUGGUGUUAGAAACUCUGCUCAACUUUGCUGUGAAUCUAAAACUUCUUUAAAAAGUAAAAGUUAGCCAGGCAUGAUAGUAAGCCAGUGUCUGUAAUCCCAGCCUUCUAGGAGGCUGCCCGGCAGGAGCACAUAUUAAAGCCCAAGUCGGGUAAAAUUAGCGCCUUAGUGAGAUCCUGUCUCAAAAUAAAAGUAAAGAGCAGAGAGCGACUCCAAAAUGUAAAGAGGAGCUCAGGGCAUUCGGCCCCAGGUUUGCACACACACAUGAGUGCUCAGCACCCUGACCACUAGGUCACAGCUUGUAGGUGACAACAUCCAGGCCGGCCAGCCCCUGCUGUGUUCCCCUGUGUCAAGGGGGCAGAGACAUCAUCACCUGGACCAGAGGUCUAGGUCCAGCUUGGAGCCAUAGCACCUGCCUAGCAUGUGGAGGCCCUGAGUUCCAUCUCCAAUACUGGAGACAGGGCCAGGGAGAGACAAAGAGAAAGAGGGAGGAAGGAAGAAAGUGAAGAUGGAAGGAAUGGAGGGGAAAAAAAGGAAGGGAAGAGUGAUGGAAGGAAAGAAAGAGGGAAAGAAGGAAAGGAAGGGAAGAGUGAUGGAAGGAAGGAGAGAGGAAGGGAAGAAGGAAAGGAGGGCAGAAGGAAAACCAGCCAGUGCUGGCGCCCGAGCCACCUGGGAGUCGCAGCUUUCCAGCUAUGUGAUCAGCUCUCCUGUCAGUGAACUAACCAGCUGGCAUGAGGAUACCAGAUCCUGCUUCUGUCCGUCAAUCCAGACAUCCACGAAGAAGCUUCUCUUGCUCAGUCUUGACUGGAAACGGGAAUCCUCAAGCCUGAGGGUGGCCUCAGAAGCAGAGCCCAGCCCACAGGGCCUGACAGCAGCAGGAGGUCCUGACAGAUUUCUUAGCUAAGGUGCUGAAAACAGGGAAACGCCUGCAUAAGUGCAUUGGAAGGAAGGGACCACAAAAUAGUAGGACUUGAUAAGGUGUUCAUGUGUGUCUCAGAAACUGACUGGAACAUGUGCCACCAGUAUUUUUUUGAAUAGGAGUAACAAUACUUAGCCUUAAAAUGCUUCCAACCACCUCCUACGGUCCACCCCAAAGACAAAACCAUGCCAAAUGUGGAAAGUAGUUCACAGCACAGUUCAGUAGAUACAUAAUGAAGGCAUUGUCUUGAUGUAUAAAAGAACUGUGUUUAUAACAUUGUUGUGGAAAUCAGACGGAACAUAGGAAGAAAGGGCAUGGAGGAGGUUUAAGAGGAAGUUUAUUCCACCAGUGGGCUUGACUGAAGUCUCUCCCAAAGAGUCAGCCCCACCCUGUGGUCUUUGGGGGCUUUUAUGGGGAGAGCAGUGGGGAUAUACAAGGGUAGAUUUGUGUCCGUGUGAUUGGAGGGUUGGGUGACAUCUUGGGUUGCUAAGAGUGUUUAAGCAUUGUAAGUCACAUUGCAAGGCCAUCAGCUAUACAAAGCAUGGGUUUUACAGAGGAAGAAAUGUCCUGCUGCAUUUUAAGUUACGUUACAAAGCCAUCAGUUAUAGAAAGGCAAUAAACACAGGGGUUUCACAAAGGGGCAUUUCAAGUUACACUUUAAGGCCAUCUGUUAGACAAGCUUGCACAAAGGAAGGAAUGUCCUGUUAUCAAGCUUCUCCGGACACAGAGGUGUCUGCCUGGUCUUGCUGGGCUUCCUUGGCAGGCUGACUUGAAGGCUUUAUUUAAAAUUUUUGAUGGGUUCUGCCUGUGUGAAGCUCUGCCAGGCUCAGCAUGGCACCUGCCCAAAUUGGACAGCAUAUCCCUCCAACAUUAACUUCUGUGUUGUUCUUCCAAGCUGAAACGGAACUUCUCACUUUCCACGUGUACCAGCAUCCCCCAAUCAGCUCUCAACACGUCACUCUGCCCGCUUCUUCAAACCCUACCCCCUGUCAAACCCAAUAAAACCCCGCAGCUUCUUUGUCUGCCUUGGAGGGAGCUUGUGCUCUUCUCCAGCCCUCCCAUGACCACAAUAAAGGCCGUUUUUCCUUUUUUUUCUUUUUCUGCUUUUGCUUCUCUACCACAUCAAGGAAACACCUAACAAUUUUAACUUCUCUUUCAACGUUAAAGAAAUUUGGAAUGCAAACUGUAAUUGGAAUGUAAAAUAUUGCGUGAAAAACACACUGACAGCUAAUGAUAAGUAUUCACAGUGUAUCAGGCACGUGUCUAAGACAUUUUAGAUUAACUUUCUUCAAUCUCUUAAACACAUGGAGUAAACACUACAUUUUCCUAUUUCUGAACGGAGAAACUUUAGAUUCUAAAUCUUUAAGCAAAUUGUUGAUUACUCAGUCACAGAGAGCUGUGUGGCAGAAUCAGAAUGUGGAAUGUGUCACUCUGUCUUAAGAUCUGUCACUUAAAAUGGCUGUCAUGGUUAGUUUUUCCCAUUUCUGAGAUAAAAUACCCAACACCCGAAGUUAAGGAAAGAAAGGUUUAUUUAGCUCACAGGUUGUGGAAGUUUCAGUCUGUACUCAACUGGCUCCAACACAGGACAGCGUGGCAGAGGGGCCCCAGAGCAAAAGCAGCAAGAGCAAGAAGUGGGAGAGAGCAAGCCUCUUUUCCUCCCUUAUGUUGUAAACAGGCUGCCACCCCAGCCAGGGUGAGUGCAGCACUCACACCACCUCCCGACCCUCCUUUUGCACAGGCUGCAAAUGUUUACAGAGGGAGGACCCUGGCCCCCUGCUGAGACUUUUCAUUACACUUCUAAACUUCUCAAGUUGACACAGUGUAUCAGCCAUUAUAAGGACUGUGCUAUAUUAACAACACCCACAUACAUACAUGUGUGCAGAUAUGCAAGCUUAAAGAUUCCUCACUUACAAAAAAUAUACUAGAUUAACAACACACACGUACUCAGGUGUGUGUGGAUACACAGACGUAAAUGAAGAUCCCUUGCUUACAAUGACCAUACUAGAUUAUUGGCACACAUGCACAGAUGUGUGUGGAGAUGCAUGUAUAAAUGCUGGAAAUCUAUACAUUCAAUAUUAGCGAUCAUGUUAUUAAGCCUGGGACUCAAGAAUGUGGAAAAUCCUUCUUUAUAACUUAGUAAUGUUUACUCAUAAAACUUCUGCUGUUUCUAAGAUAUAAAUGCUAAGUCUUUUAUCUGAAGUCCCACCAUGCAUCCACACAGACAGAGGAUGAGGGGGUGGAGUCAGUGUGAGAAUCUGGCCCUUAACUGAGCAACCAUGCAGGAGCGGCUUCUCCCUCCGUGGGAGCCCUGUGCCGGCUCUGGGAGGCACUGUGGCCACGUCGUCCCACGGCCGGUAGUUCUCCUUCCAUUCCUUUUAUUCAGCACUUCUUUAUUCCUUUAGUGUCGUAUUUUUAACUGUCUAAAAUACAUCUGUUAUACAGUCUUUGAAUAUCAACGGAAAGAAAGUAGAGACAGCAAUGAUGUUCAGCUCCAUGGAGCACACAGAGAAGCCGGCUGGCGAGGAAGUGGAGGAAGUGGCCGAGGCAGUGUUUGUGGACCGUGUGGGUCGAGGGUUCCAGGCAGCUCCCCGUCAGGUGGGCCUGGCAGCGGCACCGGCUCAGGCAGUGCAGCCGCAACCCUGGACCCGGGCCAGGGAUCCAGGUCUGAUGCCCUCCUCCAUGAACAGAGAUGACAGUAGCACAGAGCUGUACAGUUGCUGUGAAGAUUAAUGAAAGUCACAUCCUAGGCAUAGGCAAGGACUUCCUGAACAGAGCCUAACGGUGCAAGAAAUAAUAACAAGAAUCAGCAAAUGGGAUCACAGUAAAUAAAAAACUUCUAUACUGCAAAGGAAACAACCAACAGACUGAAGAGACAACCUGCAAAAGGCAAAGAAAGUCUGCCACCUAUUUCUGAGACUAGAGGACUAGAUAGAGUCCUGUAUAGAGAGAAACUGUAUAGAGAGAACCAAAACAAUUAGACCUCUCAAAAUAAAAGGCCCAAUCAAAAGUAGGUACCUGGGGCAAAUAGGCACUUCUCAGCAGAAGGAAUACAAAUAGCCACUGAGUACGUGAAGGAAGUGCUCAACACUGCUGUUCAUUACAGAAAUGAAAUUAAAACAACAGUGAAAUGCCAUCUCAUUCCAGAAAAAAAUGGCUAUUUUCAAGAACUCAAAACCUCACAAGUGCUGGUGAGGUCAUAGGGGAAUAGAACCCUUAUACCUCAUUGGUGAGCAUAUAAUCUAGUACAACCACUGUAGAAAUCCACAUGGAGAAUCUCAAAAGGCUAAAACUGGAAAUUCCCUGUGACCCAGCCUCACUCUCUUGGGUCAGUUCCCAGAAGAAGUAAACAGAUUCUCCUACAGUGAUACAGCAUGCCAUGUUUGUUUCAGGGCAGCUCAGGAAAGCUACAUCGUGGACGUGGACUGCACACCCAUCCAUGGGCGACUGAACAAGGAAAUUGAGGCACAGAUGCACAGUGGUGCCCCAUUCAGCUGCAGGAAAGGCCAAGCUCAUCUCUAGAAGAAAAAGAAAUCUGAAGAUAAGUUAUGACCUAAAAUCUUGAUUCUGUUUUAUUUCUUUGGCAAAUUGCUCUGAGCAGACCCUGACAAAAAUAACUCCUGCUCUUUCCAGACGGAUGGCUCGCCAUGGUAAGGGCACAGCAAGCCUCCCUAAAUUGUGCUGUCAAAUGGAAAUUAGCGAUUGACCCGUGGAUCUCUUCUUAAUAAGAGCAUCUCUGUUGUAUUGAUUUAUAGGGAGCAUUAUUUCCUUUUGCAAUAUGAGAAGUGAUAAUUUUUCCUUGGAGGCACCUUAUGCUUUUAAGAGUUCCUGUAACGAAUGGAAUUUUAACAAGGCAGAAGCGAUUGUAUGUGAUUGGAGACUGUUUGUUCUGCACGGGAGAUUUGUUUAAUUGAACGCACUCCCAAAGAUGCCAGUGUGGCUAAUACACAUGAACACCAACACCCACCUUCCGAGAAUCGGAGCAGAGAAACAACACCAGGCAGCGGAAGCAGGGUGAUUUCGAUCCUGCCCAGAGAGAGUACAGCUGAUUUUAUUUUGGGGUCUCUUCAAAGACCCCCACAUCUUAAGGCUUUACAGAGUAGAACCUCGCUCUUGUCUGAUGAGCUUUCAAAGAUGGAGGAGCUCUACAUGGCCCUUGGUGGGCAUCAGGGUCCUAGAGCUGUCAAGCUGGGGGUGCUGCUCUCCCACCGUGAGCCCCCCUUUUCACCCUCUCCUGAUUGUCUUUCAAAAUGGAUGCAGGUCUGUUUUUGCUCAGGCAGGUGCCCUAUUAACCUCAGACUUUCAAAGGAGACCUUCAGCUCUACCCGAGUCACUCUCUGCUCCAACCUGCAGAUGGGAGCCUCUGGAAAGCACCCCCAGUCCCCUGAAGGGUACUCAGGGCACCCAGUCAACCAUGCUGCCUGCUGGCCUGGCCUCACCCAAUGCUGUGCUGAGCUUACCCACAACAGGGAAGGUACUGUGUGCCCUGGAAGAUAACUCUUCAUCUUUAAGUCAGAGGCCAUGAGGUCCCUGGUCAGGUCCCUGCCCCAGAGAAUUUUUACGCCCAUUCCACCUCCUGUUAGCAGGGCAGCACAGACACUCAUGAGCAACAGUAAGAGAAAACAGAGAGGCAAGGGGCUGGAAUGGGGCUUAUGCAAAUGGCGCUGUCAAGGGUGAUUCCAAGUGCACACUGUGAUUGCUCCUGAAAGUCCUCCUCGGUGCUCACAAAAAAUUAGUUGUGCAAAUUCGGAAAAUUUAGUCUACCUUUAGCUUGUGGACAUGGAAUUACAUAAUUGAAAGGUUUCCCUUUUUGCUUAUCUGCUAGAAAGUUUUUGGUGACCCAGAUCACUGAACUUUGCCUCAUUUCUGGUACAAUUUUAUGACUAUCUUUGGUUUACUAUCCUCUUUGUCACUUUCACCAUUAAUAUUGCUUAUCUUGGAUUUCAGCUCCUUUUGUAGGCUUCCACAAAUCUUUUAUGGAAAUAGACAAAGCAUAUGUAAGCAAAGGCCAGGGCUAGGCGACUGUCCCAGAGGAGACAGCACCACCCACUGAAGAGUGGCCACAGGUUAGAGGUCCACGCUUUCCCAACAGUCCACAUAGAAACCACUGUCUACAUCUCCCGAUGCCAUUUAUAGUCUUACUAAGCAAAACAACAAAACGAAAUUGUAUAAAGGAAAAAUACAAGGAUAAUCCGCUGACCAAAAAUUCCUUAGUUGUAAAAUAAAAGAAUAUAAAAAUAAUGGAGAAUUCCUAAAAUAAAUGGAUAAAGGGGAGACACUAUUAGAGGAAACAAAAAUGACAUGUUUUUCACCAUCUCAAUUUAUGUAAAUAAUGAUAACCUCUGUUUAAAUGACUACUCAUGAGUAAUUCCCUAGAGAUACUCACUUCUGUUUUUUUCCAAGUGAUUCUACAAUAGCAAUAGUAAUAUCAGGAGUAAUAACCAGUAUCACAAUAUUGACUGCAUCUUAUAAAUCUGUAAGACCAAAUUAUGAAGUCAGAAACUCGGACUGGUUAAGUCUUUCGUUUUCUCUUCUAAAACUGUUUAACUGAUUUAACAUCUAAGUGUGUAUGGUGAAGGGGAACGAGGGAUCACAUUCCUGCCCACACAGCACAUCUGACAGGCUCAAGGCACACACUGCUUUAAUGCCUUUACAUUAACCAUGUGGAUCUACAGUUAAGAAGUAAUAUAUCACACAGUUUGUCAGGAAAAUAGAUCACAUGGUAAUUGUUUUUCCACAAUUUUCUUUUUAAAAAUCAGGAUUACUUUUCAGCGCAUGUAAGAAUUUAUUUCCAGAAAUAACUCAGCUCAAAUGCUUCUCUAAAGCUCUCGUUGAAGAUUGAUCCUUGGGCUGACUUCUGGCAGUGCCCUGCACUGAGUUUUUGACUUGAAGUGUGGGAGAUGGCAUGGAGUUGGGGUGAGGUUGCCUCUAGACACGAAGAGACGCACACAAGUACAGACAUGAAAUGAUGGGAUACAGAGAAGGGUGGUUCGUUUACUGUGGCACCAGAGCUGUGGGGGUGGAAUCUCAGAGGACAGACAGGGCCAAAUAUACCGACAGCAACACUUUUGUAAGCUAUGGCGAGUGUUAUAAACUUUAUGGGCAGUAGAGUAAUGAAAGCCAUUUCCUCAAUUAAUUGGCAUUAUCGAAAUGUUUUUAGAAUACUAAGGGAUGGAUGGGAGGAGGAGUGUUUAGAAAGGAAAACACCCAGCUUGGAAAGGUGGGGAGGGGAUAGAUAGAGGGAGAGUAACAUGCACCUCACACAGCUGGGGAUCCCCAACAGCAGGGCCAGUAUCAUCCUCAGAAAACUCUCCUGUAUUUUACUAACAACCAAAAGAGAGAAGCCCAGAGGCUUUGCAUAGCAAUUAGGAAAGGGAGCCAUUAAUUAUCCUGAAUUUAUUAAUCCAUAUUACACAUAUAUUGUUGAAAUAUUACAGCAUAAAUGUAUAUAAUUGCUACACUUGUUAAUUUUUAUGAAGAUUUAAGAAUAUGGAAAUGUGAACUGUCUUGAUUUGAUCAUUACACACUGUAUACACACAAGCUGAAUGAUCAUAUUGUGGCCCAUAAAUAUGUACAACUAAAUUAAUAAUUAACAAAAACUAUUGUUUAAAAAAGUAAAAGGACAAAUCUGAAGUACCAGGCUUUAGGAAUUUUUCAGGAGCAGGAAGAGCUGUGAUGAACACUGCUGGGAGUCAGUGGGAAUGGAUUACAGGGCCACUCCAGAUGUGUGGUCAGUAGCCAGUGAAUAGUUAUAUUAAUAGUAAUAAUCCCUACCUGCUGUGAGGUGAGCAGCUGUUAUAGUCAGAGUUUGCAAAGGAAUGGAAAUGAUGUAAGACAUACAUUUAUAGUUUUAUCUUACAAAAAGUCAAAUACAGAAGAGUGCAAGAGAUCUGUCCCUGCGCUAGAUACCUAAGAAUCCAGCAGCUGCAUGAGUCCAGCUGGAGGCCUAGAGCUCACAGCAAUGUCUCAUCCAAGUCCAUCAAGGAUCUGCCCUGGGAAAGCCCAAGGGCCAGUGGUGGAAGCUGGACCAUCUGCACCGGUGGGGUGAAGGAUCUGUGCCAGCGGGCGAGGGAUCUGCACUGGAGCCAGGAUACAAUGCUCAAGACAGAGGCAAGCAUCAGAGUUCCCUCAAAGAGAACAGCAGUCUGGCCACAGGGAGGACCCACACUCCUCCUCAGAAGCGAACAGCUGGGUUCCUGUCAGGAAAACCAGCCAAGCCAAGCUUGUUCUGGGGAAUUAUCAGUGUGCAGUGCUCCCCUCUGGUCCUCCUUUUAUGCUGCUGACAAUAGUCCUCAGGUGGGUCUUUUACCUUAGCACCAGGCUGACCCAGUUCCACUGGCCACCAGUUAACCUGCCUCGAUGGCCCUCCAUGAUGCUGCUGCCUUGCAAUGGGCCCGGAACCACAGAGUCACCAAACCAGGCAGACACCACUGCAACCUGCACUAUGGCCAGGUCAACUGCUUCAAAUUCUUCCUUAAAAUCUGCCUGGCUGCUCACAGCCUUUUUGAAAUAAGAUUCGGCAUCUAAAAGUUUCUUUCUUCAUUUUCCAGUAUGAGAGACUCAGCUUCUGAGCUGGAUCUGUGUUUGGCUUCCCCCUCCUGCAGUGGUAGGGGCUUCCCCACACCCUACUGUGGACCUGGCUCUGCAGGCUCUGAGAGCCGUUGCAGGGACCCCACUUACCACGCAAGUCCUCACACUCCCCUGUCCAGCCUUCUGUGCUGGUUUGGGAGCUGUUUCUCCUUGCAAACUCAGACCUAGAGAUCAGAAUGGAGUCACCAUUCCUCACUUGGGGGAGCUGUCACCUCCUUUCUGCUCUUCCUACUUUCUGGCCACAUCUGUGUAAAGAGCCCCUUGAUUAAACUGUUAUCAAAUUGC